GCGCCCGUAGCUCAGGGGAUAGAGCAUUGGCCUCCGAAGCCAUGUGCGUAGGUUCGAUUCCUGCCGGGCGCACCA
rnacentral:tRNA from 4 species